UAAAGCAUAGCAUUAAUCCACUAGAUCCAAGUAGAAAUUCAUAGCUAAUCAUGCUUAGGCUAGAGUAGUAUUGGGAUGGGUGACCACCUGGGAAGUCCUAGUGUUUUAC
rnacentral:rRNA from 1 species